rnacentral:rRNA from 1 species
CCUACGGGAGGCAGCAGUGAGGAAUAUUGGUCAAUGGACGAGAGUCUGAACCAGCCAAGUAGCGUGAAGGAUGACUGCCCUAUGGGUUGUAAACUUCUUUUAUAUGGGAAUAAAAUGUUCCACGUGUGGGAUUUUGUAUGUACCAUAUGAAUAAGGAUCGGCUAACUCCGUGCCAGCAGCCGCGGUAAUACGGAGGAUCCGAGCGUUAUCCGGAUUUAUUGGGUUUAAAGGGAGCGUAGGUGGAUUGUUAAGUCAGUUGUGAAAGUUUGCGGCUCAACCGUAAAAUUGCAGUUGAAACUGGCAGUCUUGAGUACAGUAGAGGUGGGCGGAAUUCGUGGUGUAGCGGUGAAAUGCUUAGAUAUCACGAAGAACUCCGAUUGCGAAGGCAGUUCACUGGACUGCAACUGACAUUGAUGCUCGAAAGUGUGGGUAUCAAACAGGAUUAGAUACCCGUGUAGUC